rnacentral:rRNA from 1 species
AAUAGAUACCCGGGUAGUCCACGCCGUAAACGAUGAGUGCUAGGUGUUGGGGACUCCAAUCCUCAGUGCCGCAGCUAACGCAAUAAGCACUCCGCCUGGGGAGUACGGCCGCAAGGCUGAAACUCAAAGGGAAUUGACGGGGACCCGCACAAGCGGUGGAGCAUGUGGUUUAAUUCGAAGCAACGCGAAGAACCUUACCAGGGCUUGACAUCCCUCUGACCCCUCUAGAGAUAGAGGCUCUCUUCGGAGCAGAGGUGACAGGUGGUGCAUGGUUGUCGUCAGCUCGUGUCGUGAGAUGUUGGGUUAAGUCCCGCAACGAGCGCAACCCUUGUCCUUAGUUGCCAGCAUUGAGUUGGGCACUCUAAGGAGACUGCCGUCGACAAGACGGAGGAAGGUGGGGAUGACGUCAAAUCAUCAUGCCCCUUAUGUCCUGGGCUACACACGUGCUACAAUGGAUGGUACAACGGGCUGCGAACUCGCGAGAGUAAGCCAAUCCCAAAAAACCGAUUCUCAGUUCGGAUUGUAC